rnacentral:rRNA from 1 species
UGGGGAAUUUUCCGCAAUGGGCGCAAGCCUGACGGAGCAACGCCGCGUGCGGGAGGAAUGCCUUUGGGUUGUAAACCGCUUUUCUCAGGGAAGAAUCACUGACGGUACCUGAGGAAUCAGCAUCGGCUAACUCCGUGCCAGCAGCCGCGGUAAUACGGAGGAUGCAAGCGUUAUCCGGAAUUAUUGGGCGUAAAGCGUCCGCAGGUGGUUGGUCAAGUCUGCUGUCAAAGCGUGCAGCUCAACUGCAUAUCGGCAGUGGAAACUGGUUAACUAGAGUUCGGUAGGGGUUGCGGGAAUUCCCAGUGUAGCGGUGAAAUGCGUAGAUAUUGGGAAGAACACCGGCGGCGAAAGCGCGCAACUGGGCCUGAACUGACACUGAGGGACGAAAGCGAGGGGAGCGAAAGGGAUUAGAUACCCCUGUAGUCC